rnacentral:tRNA from 1 species
AAUAGAUUAGCUCAAUUGGUAGAGCAACCGUUUUACAGACGGUAGGUUAAGUGUUCGAGUCACUUAUCUCUUA